rnacentral:tRNA from 1 species
GGCCCCUUGGCGGAAUGGCAGACGCGGCGGAUUUAAAAUCCGCUUCUCGAAAGAGAGUCCCGGUUCGAGUCCGGGAGGGGCCAC